rnacentral:rRNA from 1 species
CUUAACGGCCACACCGCUGGUUCACGCCCGAUCUCGUUGAUCUCGGAAGCUAAGAUAGGUUGGGCCUGGUUAGUACUUGGAUGGGAGACCGCCUGGGAAUACCAGGUGCUGUAAGCU